UACGUAGGGGGGCAAGCGUUGUCCGGAUUUAUUGGGCGUAAAGAGCGUGUAGGCGGUUCGGUAGGUCCGUUGUGAAAACUCGAGGCUCAACCUCGAGACGCCGAUGGAAACCAUCGAACUAGAGUCCGGAAGAGGAGAGUGGAAUUCCUGGUGUAGCGGUGAAAUGCGCAGAUAUCAGGAAGAACACCCCGUGGCUAAGGCGGCUCUCUAGUACGGUACUGACGCUGAGACGCGAAAGCGUGGGGAGCGAACAGG
rnacentral:rRNA from 1 species